GGCCCUGGGAUUUGCUGUGCAUUCUGUAAAAAACCAAGCAUGGAAACAGACUGAACUGUUUUUCCAAGACCCAUCUCAUCAGCUAAAAUGACAUUUGUAUCAUUUCUCCAGCUAUUAACAAGAAAAUUCAAACCCUCUAGCUGAUAAUCACGAAGCUUUCCUCCUCUCAACCAUUCUGGCUGUUCAUCAAGCUUCCUUAAACUUGCUUUGCCUUUCUUGCGCUGGAGAUCCACCAUUUUCCCUUGUACAGCCAUUGCAGCCUCACGUGCCUUGUAUUCAUCAAUUGCAUCUUGAGCAAAUUCUAUAUCUAUAUCCUUCUCCCAGGUUGCUUCGGCAUAAGAUAGUCCUUGCCACUUGACUAAGUACUCUGGUACAAUAUUCCCAGAGCUAUCAUUACUGAUUCGAUCAGAAAUAAUUCUCUCCACCUGACUAUUUUGCUUGAUUAGAUCCAAAUCCAUUUCCUUACUCACAUCAUUGACCUCAAUCUCCUCACGUGUAAGCAUUCUCCGAUACUUCACAUCUUCAUUAACUUUCUUGGUGUAGUUCAAUACCUUCUUAAAACCACUCAGAUUUUGUAAUUCUGCAAAAGAUUUCCACUGGCAGUGCAAAUGUGACUGGCCUUUCCAUUUGAUUAAAAACUCCAUUUCAUUCCAAUCUGG
rnacentral:misc_RNA from 1 species